rnacentral:lncRNA from 1 species
UACGUUGGACACUACUCGACUAUCAGACUCUACGGAAUGAUCAUGUCGACGAGCUAUGUUCGGUGAUCGACUGACACUCGGCCUGACAUACACACCCGACCAAGGUCCGAGCGGCGGACACUCGACCUAUAAUUGGUACGGCUCUCAACCAUCAGAUCUUAUGUUGUCUGUAUAACAGUCGGGAUGCCGGCCUGUGAUCGGGGCUUGCACUACCCUUGGCACGACGCACACUACUGACUACUUUGAUCGGCUACGCU